rnacentral:rRNA from 1 species
AAGAGGUUCGUGCUGACCUCGGAGGAUAUUA